UGGUUUAAUUGAAGAAUGGUCAAGAUUAAUUAAUUAGUUAAUUAAUUAUACGAAAGGUUCGUAUUGGGCUUGUAUGUUGGUUUUGGGUUUCGGGGCCCAAAAGUGUUUUGGUCCACAAGGCCCAUUAUGUUUAAGUUGUAUGACAACUAAAACAAAAUGGGCAAAUUGGCCCAAUAACAAGGAGAGGCAGGCCAUUAGGGUGAAUGGGCAAGCUUGCUUAAUUACAAGUUUGCCACUCACCAAAGAAAAUGUUAUAAAAGCAACUUUGUAGCAAUUUUCUCAUUAGGGUUUUCUAAUAGAAAUUGGGUGAAACAUUUUCUCUCAUUUUCUACAUAGAGGCCGGCCACUUAGAGGAUUUUUACUAGCAUCUAAAAUCUCUCUAAGUCAUCCAUAUCAUCUUCACAAUAUACAACCUUGGUGAAGAGACUUAGAGACAUCAAGCUUUUGAUGUUUUUGGAGAACAAAUCCUUUUUCCUCUAAUCAUCAAAGGAGCACUAAAGGGAGGAAAACACAAGGAGGAUUCAAGGAGCUUAGAGGUGACUUGAAGGCCCUCCACUUGGGUGAAUCCCUUGUGUAAACAAGGAUGAGCUUCAAGGGUAAAGAAUCACUUAAUCUUUACUUCUCUUUAAUGUUGUUAAAGAGUUUAUUUGGUUCACCAUAUACUAGGCUUUGAAAGUCAUGGGUUUUAUGAAUUGUUUUUUAAUGCAUGCCUACUUUAAAGUGUUAAUAGCUUGCAUGUGUAUUCAAAUGUUCAUACUUGUUCUUAGCUAGGAC
rnacentral:lncRNA from 1 species